GCUCAGCAGCGACAUGUAUCCUCCAAGCCUCUUCAUUUGUUGGCAAGAGCAUUUGCUCGGCCGGCGUUUGGUUUUCCUGUGUUGAAUACCUAUCACGAAGGCAUUCUGUUGGCUAAAGAUGUCCCUUUCCCGCCUUGUGCUGCUGCUCCUCGUGGGCAAGCGGCGCGGGGUGGGCCAAAUUGCGCACGUCGUGUAUCGCACCGCGUUCAACCUCUCGGGGCGUUCGGGUUGUCGACCCACGACGUGAUGCUCGUUCUCUCGGAUACGGAACAUCACGUGGGUACGAGGCCAUCGGCCUCCGAGCACCACAAAACAAGCGUUCUACGCUUCGUGCGAACGACUGUCGUCCCGAUCUUUGGCCGUGCUCUCGCAGCUCGGUUCAAGUCGGGCCGACGUCGGUGAGGAAUGCUACCUGGUUGAUCCUGCCAGUAGUCAUAUGCCUUGUCUCC
rnacentral:misc_RNA from 1 species